rnacentral:misc_RNA from 1 species
UCCGGUUUGGCACCGGCAGUCCCCCGAGAGUCCUCAGCAGCUUGCGCUCUGUUAGCAACACGGGGCGGGGGUUGCGCUCGUUGCGGGACUUAACCCAACAUCUCACGACACGAGCCGACGACAGCCAUGCAGCACCUGUGUUCCGGCCUAUUGCUAGGAGGAAUCCAUCUCUGGAAACCGACCGGACAUGUCAAGAGCUGGUAAGGUUCUUCGCGUUGCGUCGAAUUAAACCACAUGCUCCGCUGCUUGUGCGGGCCCCCGUCAAUUCCUUUGAGUUUUAGCCUUGCGGCCGUACUCCCCAGGCGGGGCACUUAAUGCGUUAGCUCCGGCACGGGAGGAGUCGACACCUCCCACACCUAGUGCCCAUCGUUUACGGCGUGGACUAC